rnacentral:rRNA from 1 species
AUUGAACGCUGGCGGCGUGCUUUACACAUGCAAGUCGGACGAGUGGCGAACGGGUGAGUAACGCAUCGGAACGUCCCGAGUAAUGGGGGAUAACUGUCCGAAAGGACAGCUAAUACCGCAUAUUAUUCGAGCGGCCGAUGUCUGGUUAGCUGGUUGGCGGGGUAAAGGCCCACCAAGGCGACGAUCCGUAGCGGGUCUGAGCGGAUGAUCCACCACACUAGGACUGAGACACGGCCCAGACUCCUACGGAAGGCAGCAGUGGGGAAUUUUGGGCAAUGGACGCAAGCCUGAUCCAACCAGGCCGCGUGUCUGAAGAAGGCCUUCGGGUUGUAAGGGACUUUUGUCAGGGAAGCGGUACCUGAAGAGUAAGCACCGGCUAACUACGUGCCAGCAGCCGCGGUAAUUC